GACGAACGCUGGCGGCGUGCUUAACACAUGCAAGUCGAACGGAAAGGCCCUGCUUUUGCGGGGUGCUCGAGUGGCGAACGGGUGUGUAACACGUGAGUAUCCUGCCCUUGACUUUGGGAUAACUUCAGGAAACUGGGGCUAAUACCGGAUAGGAGCUCCUGCUGCAUGGUGGGGGUUGGAAAGUUUGGGCGGUUGUGGCUGUACGCGCGGGUUACUAGCUUGUUGGUGGAGUACUGGCUUACCAAGGCUUAGACGGGUAGGCGGCCCGAGAGGGUGAACGGGGACAAGGGGACUGCGGUACGGCGCAGACUCCUACGGGAGGCAACAGGGGGAAAUCUGACACAGUGGGCGGAAGCCUGAUACGACGGUGCCCCGAGCGUGAAGACGGCCUACGGGUUGUGAACCGCUGUCGCCUGUGACGAAGCGGUAGUGACGGUAAUGAGUAAAGAAGCACCGGCUAACUACGUG
rnacentral:rRNA from 1 species